rnacentral:tRNA from 1 species
GGGCCAGUCGUCUAAUGGCAAGACUGCGGAUUCCAGACCCGCCGAUCGGCGUUCGAAUCGUCGCUGGCCUGCCA